AACUACAGCUCCUUAUACACACACAGUGCAAUAUAACUACAGCUCCUUAUACACACAGUGCAAUAUAACUACAGCUCCUUAUACACACACAGUGCAAUAUAACUACAGCUCCUUAUACACACACAGUGCAAUAUAACUACAGCUCCUUAUACACACACAGUGCAAUAUAACUACAGCUCCUUAUACACACACAGUGCAAUAUAACUACAGCUCCUUAUACACACACAGUGCAAUAUAACUACAGCUCCUUAUACACACACAGCGCAAUAUAACUACAGCUCCUUAUACACACACAGUGCGAUAUAACUACAGCUCCUUAUACACACAGUGCGAUAUAACUACAGCUCCUUAUAC